rnacentral:tRNA from 1 species
AGCCAGUUAGCUCAGUCGGUUAGAGCUUGGAGCUGAUAACACCAAGGCUGCGGGUUUGAUCCCCACUUGCUC